AUUGAACGCUGGCGGCAGGCCUAACACAUGCAAGUCGAACGAGUGGCGGACGGGUGAGUAAUGUCUGGGACACUGCCUUAUGGAGGGGGAUCACUACUGGAAACGGUAGCUAAUACCGCAUACCAUUCGCUGUUCCCAGAUUGGAUUAGCUUGUUGGUGGGGUAACGGCUCACCAAGGCGACGAUCACUAGCUGGUCUGAGAGGGUGACCAGCCACCCUGGAACUGAUAAACGGUCCAGACGCCUACGGGAGGCAGCAGUGGGGAAUAUUGCACAAUGGGCGCAAGCCUGAUGCAGCAAUGCCGCGUGUAUGAAGAAGGCCUUCGGGUUGGAAAGUACUUUCAGCGGGGAAGCGUUACCCGAAGAAGAAGCACCGGCUAACUACGUGCCAGCAGCCGCGGUAAUAC
rnacentral:rRNA from 1 species